UUAAAUAGCCGCAGUAUUUUGACUGUGCGAAGGUAGCAUAAUCAUUUGUCUUUUAAUUGAAGGCUUGUAUGAAUGGUCGCAUGAGAAAGUAACUUUCUUUAUAUUAAUUUAUUGAAUUUAAUUUUUUAGUUAAAAAGCUAAAAUUUUUAAGUGGGACGAGAAGACCCUAUAGAAUUUUACUAUUAUUAUAGUAAAUUUUUCUUUUUUGUUUUUAAUGAAAAUUAUUUUAUUAAUAGUUUUGUUGGGGUGACAAUGGGAUUUUUAAAACUCCCAUACAUUAUAUCUUAAUAAUAUUUAUAUUUGUGAUCUUAUUUUAAGGAUUAUUAGAUUAAAUUACCUUAGGGAUAACAGCGUAAUUUUUCUGGAGAGUUCUUAUCAAUAGAAAAGUUUGCGACCUCGAUGUUGGAUUAAAAUUAGAUUUAAGUGCAGUAGCUUAAUUUCUAGGUCUGUUCGACCUUUAAAAUUUUACAUGAUCUGAGUUCAAACCGGAUUAAAU
rnacentral:rRNA from 1 species